GACGAACGCUGGCGGCGUGCUUAACACAUGCAAGUCGAACGGAAAGGCCCUGCUUUUGUGGGGUGCUCGAGUGGCGAACGGGUGAGUAACACGUGAGUAACCUGCCCUUGACUUUGGGAUAACUUCAGGAAACUGGGGCUAAUACCGGAUAGGGGCUCCUGCUGCAUGGUGGGGGUUGGAAAGUUUCGGCGGUUGGGGAUGGACUCGCGGCUUAUCAGCUUGUUGGUGGGGUAGUGGCUUACCAAGGCUUUGACGGGUAGCCGGCCUGAGGGGGUGACCGGCCACAUUGGGACUGAGAUACGGCCCAGACUCCUACGGGAGGCAGCAGUGGGGAAUAUUGCACAAUGGGCGGAAGCCUGAUGCAGCAACGCCGCGUGCGGGAUGACGGCCUUCGGGUUGUAAACCGCUUUCGCCUGUGACGAAGCGUGAGUGACGGUAAUGGGUAAAGAAGCACCGGCUAACUACGUG
rnacentral:rRNA from 1 species